rnacentral:rRNA from 1 species
GUAGGGAAUAUUGCGCAAUGGGGGCAACCCUGACGCAGCAAUGCCGCGUGAGUGAGGAAGGCCUUCGGGUUGUAAAACUCUGUCCUUGGGGAAAAAUGACAUAGAGAUGAAUAAGCUUUAUGAGUGAUGGUACCCAAGAAGAAAGCACCGGCUAACUUCGUGCCAGCAGCCGCGGUAAUACGAAGGGUGCAAGCGUUGUUCGGAUUUAUUGGGCGUAAAGCGCGCGCAGGCGGAUUUAUAAGUCAGGUGUGAAAUCUCGGGGCUCAACCCCGAAAGUGCGCCUGAAACUGUGAAUCUAGAAUUCUGGAGAGGGAAGGGGAAUUUCUCAUGUAGGGGUAAAAUCCGUAGAUAUGAGAAGGAACACCGGAGGCGAAGGCGCCUUCCUGGACAGAUAUUGACGCUGAGGCGCGAAAGCGUGGGGAGCAAACAGGAUUAGAUACCCUAGUAGUCC